GAAACGACCUUCGAUCAAGCCCUAGAUCACAAAGCUCCACUCAAUCUCAACCAUGGCGAUUGCUCGAACAGGAGUCUACGUUGAUGAUUAUUUGGAAUAUGCCAGCACAUUGCCUGCUGAGCUUCAGAGGCUGCUCAAUACGAUCAGAGAACUCGAUGAUCGUUCCCAGUCGAUGAUUGACCAGACGAGGCAGCAAACGAAAUACUGCUUGGGAUUGUCGACACAGAGUUCGAAGAAAGGAUAUAGUAAUAGUAAUA
rnacentral:misc_RNA from 1 species